AUAAAUUAGAAAAAAAUAGAAAAAAACAAUAGUACAGUACAAAAUUCAUGGGUUUCCUUAUAUAUAUGAUAUCAGAGCAGAAGUUUAGUGACAAGUUGAGUUACUGAAGUGUCUGGAAUAA
rnacentral:lncRNA from 1 species